CUGGCGGCAGCUACACAUGCAGUCGAGCGGAAACGAUCCUAGCUUGCUAGGAGGCGUCGAGCGGCGGACGGGUGAGUAAUGCAUAGGAAUCUGCCCGGUAGUGGGGGAUAACUUGAGGAAACUCAAGCUAAUACCGCAUACGCCCUACGGGGGAAAGCAGGGGCUCUUCGGACCUUGCGCUAUCGGAUGAGCUUAUGUCGGAUUAGCUGGUUGGUGAGGUAACGGCUCACCAAGGCGACGAUCCGUAGCUGGUCUGAGAGGAUGAUCAGCCACAUCGGGACUGAGACACGGCCCGAACUCCUACGGGAGGCAGCAGUGGGGAAUAUUGGACAAUGGGGGCAACCCUGAUCCAGCCAUGCCGCGUGUGUGAAGAAGGCCCUCGGGUUGUAAAGCACUUUCAGCGAGGAAGAAUGCUUGUCGGUUAAUACCCGGCAAGGGAGACAUCACUCGCAGAAGAAGCACCGGCUAACUCCGUGCCAGCAGCCGCGGUAAUACGGAGGGUGCGAGCGUUAAUCGGAAUUACUGGGCGUAAAGCGUGCGUAGGCGGCUUGAUAAGCCGGUUGUGAAAGCCCCGGGCUCAACCUGGGAACGGCAUCCGGAACUGUUAG
rnacentral:rRNA from 1 species